GGAAAAGGCCCUCCGCGGGGUCCUGCUCUUGAAGGAGGGCCUGGUGCGCCGCUCCCGCGUCCUCUCAGCGCCUCGGGCUGCGGUUGCAGAGUUCCAUUAUAAGUAUUAGUAAUGGGCUCAUGGUGUAAAAACCUCUCUGCGUGUUAUCAGAUUUUGGAGUUAGAAGUUAGGUGAAUCAAAACGCGGAGUGCUUUGUAAUAAUUAAGUUUAGUAUGUCUUGGUAAAAAUGAAUUUGAUCUCUUUGGGACUGAUAAUUAAACCUUGAAGCAGGCCGGAGUGCUAGAAGUCUUUCGUGUGUUUGUACAUCACCUUCCAUCAGGGCCGCAAAGCAUCCAUCUCCUGUGAGCAGGGGUUUGUGCUGACUGCUGUGCCUUGGUGGUAGGCACUAAGAAGACUGUGGGUGAGGCACAAUCUGUGGAGUCAUCUUGCUGUCUGUCAGGUGCUCCUGCCCUGCAGAGAGCUGCAAAAAGAUAUUUGCUGAAUCACCCUGGCUUGAUUUAACAUGCAGUCUAGCAUAAGGAUAGCUUGGAGAACCUAUGCUGAGCACUACAAUGUCAGCCUCUCCUGCCCUUGGGUGGGAAUUAAUGGAAACUGCUUUUGCUUAGUGACAUUCACAACCCAAUUGGAGAGAUAAGGCUAAGUUUGUCAACCAUUUUUUUAGGAAGAGCUUUGAUCGCUGUCAAGUGAAGCCUUAAUAAUAGCUAAUGUGCUUCUUAAUUAAUUUGUCUCAAGGGAUGAGUACUAUGCAUGUGGUACUGGGAUCCUGCAUAGAAACUGCCCUGUGAAAUCACCAAGAGGAGUAAAAAUUCCUCUCCGCAUCUGUGUAGUAGGAAUUUCUCAAUCAAAGUAAGAAAUGAAGUUGGUCUGAAGCCACCCUGAGAUGUAAAAUCUCUAUGAAGCAGAUAUUUUCCUUGCUGAUAAUGCUGACUUUCCAAGGGCAGCUGAAACAUAGAAGAAAGAGAAAAAAUCCUAAAUGGACCAAAGAUUUGUGUAUGGGAAGAAGAGUUUGAGUAUUUGAAGAUCUUGAGGGCUUUACUGAAAAGAAAAAGGCAAUUUUGAAAAGAACUAGAUGGCAAAGUACUACACAAAGCAGGGAGGGCAAGCAGCUAUGUGGAAGAACAAGCAAACUGAAGGUGAAGGAAACUGAAGGUGAGCCCAAAGAGGAGAGGAUUUCAAAGUCUCUGAUUCUUGUAAUAUGUGUGAGAAGAAUCCCAUUGAUUUUAAGAGACUUGAUUUUGUACAGAGAUGAUUCCAAGACAGGAAUGCUGUUUCUACUGUGCCAGAAAAUAUGGAUGACUUCAGCAGCACUGAUAUUUCAGAUAAACUGAGGGGACUGGAAAGAAUCUUUAAGACAACAAUCAAAAAUCAAACAAAACACAAGAAACACAUAAGCUAAAUACUGUUACAGUCAGAGUAAAAUCUUAAUGAGGCAAUAAAUGCAGCAGAGACCCUUAUUUGAGCUGUGGGGACAUGAGUAACUGUGGAUUAAAAAAAUCCAGGAAGGAAGCACUGCGUGUGUGUGGGAAGAAAGAAAACAGAAUUUUCAGAAAAUACUAAGUCUGAGGUACUCCUAAGUACUCCUAAGUGCAAGGAGGUGACCCAGAAACAAAGUGAAGCAACUGUGAAGGAAAAACAGCAUUUAAAAUGAAUUCUUCUACAUUGAUGUAGUAGAUGAAUCAUGGAAUUGGAUAAGAUCCUACUAUGAACACAGCAGGUGGAGAAAAAAACAGUGAGGGUGGAGGCUGGGAUGGUAAUAGAGACAUCUUAAGAGAGUUAGAGUCCAUGGCAGCAAUGGAUUAAUUAAUUUCCUCUGUGGUCAUGUGCUAGGUAGCUUUGAUUGUGCUUCUGAUGAGCAAGUGCUAACUCCAAUCACCAGAAAGGAAUCUCUGUAAGCAAAUUACUGCUACCAUUUCACACUGAGUAGCAACAUUUCCUGCAUUCAGGAAGGCAGCAAAGUGUUCACUGUGGUUUGAGAUGAUUCAGGGUUAACGCUCCUACUCUAGUUUACAGAAGUAGCCCUGGAAUCUGUCUAGGGCCAUAAGGAGCUUGAAAUCAGAGAAACCUGUACAGCCAAACAGCAGCAUCUUGUGCCUGCAAGCCCAGGCACAAUCCAUCUCUUUAUGGAUAUCCUCAGUGCACAGGCACAGGGAGGAAGACAAGGUAGUGCACAAACCAGAUCUUACCUUACAAAAAUACAGCGGAGCUUGACAAGAAAGGGCCUGAAAAUAUCGAAGGGUUUAAAAUGGUGUAAAAUUCAACUGAUCCUCUUUUGUUCACAGAAUGAAAGAAUGGAGAAAUUGCCCUUGUGGCUCUGGCUGGCCUUUUAAAUGACCACUUUAACCAUGCAUUUAUACAAUUAAUUUGGAAUUAGCAGAAUACUGAAUGCAAAAUGUUUUUUUAAUUAACUUAGUAACAUCACGCUAAAGGAGAACAUCUGUGAACCAUAUUUUAAGGAGAUGGCUAUUAAAUAAAGAUAAGCUGUGUUUGUUUUUUUCCCCACUAAACAAUGGUCACAUACCACUUGUACUUUAUAACAGAUUUUAUUUUCUGUGUACAAGAUUCCUGUGCUUUACUGAAUUCAACAUUAGGUAUGUUUUCAAAGGCAAAUACAGAUAAACCAGAAAAAAAACCAACAAAACUAUUAGGCCUUUUUGUUAGUCCAAAUAUGCUCAUCUUGAUAUCUCAGAAGGUAUAUAUUAAGAUAAAGCAAGUAUAUUUAUAACUUUUAAUUGAGAAAAGGGACAUAGCCUAGUGCUGUGUCCAAUGCAGGUAUAUUUGCCUUGUACUUACCCACUUGUCUGCAAUUGCAGGUUAAACAAAGAUGAUGAUCUGUUCCCUUUUGCAACAAAGAGACUGUUAGCUUCUACUGUGCAAAGUGUUCUGGGUAUACCUAUCUAUUAUGAAGGUUUUUAAUAACAGCAGCUGAAGUAUCAUAGUGGAAACUACCCAGUUUUUCCUGCUUAUGUAAACUCACUAAAAUCAUCUGGAAAAUACUUUCUUAGCGUGGGACAAAUUGCUCAGCUUCCAUUUAGUAGUAAGUUUUGCUGACUGUGACAUAUUUGAGAACAUAAGCUACAAGUGGGUAUUAGAGAUAGGUUUGCAGGACAAAUUAACCAAACUCUGGACACCCAUAAUAAGCAAGAAUCCCCAUGUGGAUUUGCUGACUGAGCAGCACCUUCUCAAACAGGGCUGGCAUCUGUUUAACCUGUUGCUACUGUUGUGAGGAAACUUCUUAGAGGAUUUUUCUGUUUUUUUUUUAAUGAAUGGAUAUUUAUUGGCUUUCCAGAUGACAUUGCUAGUCCUCAUAAACAGGAUGUUUACUUUGCACAUAAUAGAAAGUGUAAACAGAAAUACGAGCAUCAGUAUAUGCUCACUUCUUCAAUGGUGAUCCAACUCCUGCCUUCUAAAACAAAGUCCCGUUGUUGUCAAUUUGCACUUCCAUUCUGCACCAUUUGUAGAUAUUCCUUGUAUAGUUUUUCUUGGGUCUCAUAAAGUUUCUUUAGCUUCUUAAUUUGUCCUUUGCUGAGUUCUUUGCCUUCUGUAUCAUGCGUGGGAAAUCCCUAAAAUAUUAAAAAAAAAAAAAAAAAAGAAUAUUUUGGAUAAAUUUUGGACUGCUUUUGUUCCUUAGAGAAUUCUGUUCUCUUUUUGUCUGGCGUAGGAGGAUAAUGUCAAUUAAUGACAAACUGUCAGAAUGAGGUGCAUUUUGGUUAAUUUAGUCUACUUGUGUAUGUUCCCUUUCAAGUUAAUGAAGGGACAGAGGAUGAUGUUUGUUUUCUGGUCUCUACUAAGUAAGGGAAGCAUAAACUAAUUUCUAGAUGUUUAUAGUUAAGAGAAUAAUAGCUAAUCUAUAAACAGAUGGUUAAAAGACCACUUUUAAUGAUACUAGCAUAUCAAUCCCAAGGCUUAAAGCAAAAGUCCUUAGAGUUUUUUGUACUUGAUGGAGAAAAUGCAUUCAGUUUUUACAAAUCUUCUGCCAGGCUUAUGUGCAUAUUUUCCUGUGCUUUCAUUCUUUAUUCUUACUUAUCCCGAGGGCCUGAGUUUGAAUGGGUGAAAAGGACAGGCAGAAAUAGGAUCAAACACUGAAGAAACAGUGCUUUGUUUUCCAAAUAAUGGCUUUUAUUCUCACAGGAGCAACCAGAGCCAAGUUACCAGUACAGCUCCUUAUCACAGGAUGGAGGAGGGGAGCAGAAUAGUGUCUGUUUCCAUCAGUUGGGAUGGAUGAUCAGCUUUGUAGACAUAUAAUCAAAUAUGUGUGGAGGGGGAAGGAAAACCACUCCGUGUUUAAAGAUAAGUUUCUUACAUUUUCAUCAAACUUGGAAUAUUUGUCAUGUUCCGAUUUAAACAUUUCAUGGGGUGGAAUCUUCAUUUUUGCCAGUUUUGCUGCCUGUAAUACAAAGCAUGAUUAACUGCAUUAGCAUCAUAAAUAAUUACUGACAACCUAUCUUUUAAAAAAGCCAUUCCUGAACACGUGCAAAUGGAAGAGUAGAUCAUAAUUUGCAAAUCAAAGAACAUUUAAUUCACAAUUGUUCAUUACGAGAAAAGCAACUUUCAGUGAAGAACAACUCAAUAAAUCUUAGCUGUGUUUGUCCAGGAAAAUAAAGAUAAGUUGAUAUCUUACAUUUGCAGAGAACUGCUUUGUAAAAUGGUUGUAUUGCAGGAACCUGAAACAACUCUAAACAUGCUCUAAAAACAACAUCUGUUUUCUGCUUAUUUGGUUCCUUAGUGUUUUAAGUGUAAACAUAAAAUAAAUAUUGCUAUUUGUAAAGAAUGUUUAGCAAGGAUCUCCUGCAAAGGGAACCUUUAUCAACAGUUUCCUGCUGGCAAGAAGAUGUUUCUAAGCAGGUCACAGCAGGAUCAGGAUGCAAGUAAUUGCACUGAAAAUAAAAGCAACUUCUAUUAUUUGUGAAUUAACACAUCUCAGAAAUUUUUCCAACUAAUUUACACCAAUGCAAGGGAAUCAAUUUUCCAAAAGAAUGAAAUGAGCUGCUUGGAAUUUGUGGUCAAUAAAUGCUAUUUGAUUCUUAUUUUUUUCUGACAGUGGUGCUCUUUAAAAGUUUACUUCCUCUUUUAACCAGAAAUGUUUUUCCUGUACUGUCAUCAGUACAGCAAACAAUCUUUUCCUCUUACAAGUUCACCUAUGCUGAACUCCUCACCUGAAUUCUAAAACUUCAGAGCUAUCAGUAUUAAAUGUGCUUUUACAAAAUGCUACAUCUCAGACACAGUUCAGGCACAGACAGCAGGGAGACACUUGAAAAAAUGCCUGUUUUCAUAUAUGCCAGUGACAAUGGAAAGGGAAAAAGCAUAAGCAAAACAUUCUCUAACAGAAACGUAAGGUACUGCUUUGGUAAUUAAGGAAGUAAUACUGUCUACAGACUGAAAUACGUGCUAUAAGGUCUGAGAAAUUUCUGCAGUCUUCACUCUUGUUUUCAAAGAUGGCUGCUCUAUCAAAGGAGCCAUCAAGGAGAUGAAUAUUCAAAUAUAAAUUGCAAGCCAUAUUAAUUUUGAGCAGGAAAACAUAGAAAAGUAAAGAAAUGGAGGCCCAGUUAAGGCUGGGCAGAAAGCCUAUGUUCUAAUACAGUCUUUCUUGCAUGUAACUACUGCUGUUAGAAGUCUUCUUCAGAACCAGAUUCUUUUAAUCUGAACACUUACUUCCUGCUCUUGUUUUUUUCUGGCUGCUUCUUCUUUCUUCCUUUUUUUCUCUUCUUCAAUCUGUGAAAGGCAGUGUUAAUGAGUAAAAGGUAACUGCUUCAUUUGGUUGAUUUCUAUAAAAUCUGAGCCAGCUAGCUCCCCUGGAUAUCUAAUUACAGACAGAUCUGGCAGCAUAACCUACAGCAAAACCACUGUGCCUUGUAAUUAGGAUUGUCUGGUGCUUCUCACUGUAGGACUUUGAUUUCAUUUGUUUUUAAUCUCAGCUGAACUGGUUUUAACUGUUCAGAAUGCAUUUUGCAUGUGAAGUGCAUGCUUAUGAAAAAAUACCUAAAAAACCUGCAAAAUAAACAGUCCUGCCAUUUCACAGGGAAAACCAUUUUGCAAAUGACUUUUAAAAGACCACAUUUCCUUGAUAUUUUAAGUUCUUGCAUCAAACUGCUGUAUCAAUUAAAAUUUACUCAGUGCAUUUUGUUUCCAUGUAGCAAAUAAAUACAGUCUGGUUCAAUUGAACACGUCACCUUCAAUUGUACAGAUGAAAGAAGUCAGAAUCAGUUUCUCAUUGAAAUGAUUAUUUCAGAGAGAUAAGACAGCAGGAAUGCAACAUUCAACAUCCCUUAAUUAUACUAAGAUUUAUAAACAAACAAAAACCAAAAUUUAGAUACAUCCAUGCAGAAUUCUCUAGCAGCUGCUGUUUUAAGAAUCCUUUUCUUGAUUCUUGAACUAUGAUUUCAGUAUCCAUUUUAGUAUAUAAUUUUCUAUGUCACUAGGCUUACAAAUUAUCAGGAAAUGUAAAG